rnacentral:rRNA from 1 species
GGUGGUGCAUGGUUGUCGUCAGCUCGUGUCGUGAGAUGUUGGGUUAAGUCCCGCAACGAGCGCAACCCCUAAGCUUAGUUGCCAGCAUUCAGUUGGGCACUCUAAGGUGACUGCCGGUGACAAACCGGAGGAAGGUGGGGAUGACGUCAAAUCAUCAUGCCCCUUAUGACCUGGGCUACACACGUGCUACAAUGGACGGUACAAACGGUUGCCAACCCGCGAGGGGGAGCUAAUCCGAUAAAACCGUUCUCAGUUCGGAUUGUAGGCUGCAACUCGCCUACAUGAAGCCGGAAUCGCUAGUAAUCGUGGAUCAGCAUGCCACGGUGAAUACGUUCCCGGGUCUUGUACACAC